rnacentral:rRNA from 1 species
GUAGGUGGCAAGCGUUGUCAGGAAUUAUUGGGCGUAAAGCGCGCGCAGGUGGUUCUUUAAGUCUGAUGUGAAAGCCCCCGGCUCAACCGGGGAGGGUCAUUGGAAACUGGGGAACUUGAGUGCAGGAGAGGAAAGUGGAAUUCCACGUGUAGCGGUGAAAUGCGUAGAUAUGUGGAGGAACACCAGUGGCGAAGGCGACUUUCUGGCCUGUAACUGACACUGAGGCGCGAAAGCGUGGGGAGCAAACAGGGAUUAGAUACCCUGGUAGUCCACGCCGUAAACGAUGAGUGCUAAGUGUUGGGGGGGUUUCCCGCCCCUCAGUGCUGCAGCUAACGCAUUAAGCACUCCGCCUGGGGAUACGGUCGCAAGACUG